UACGUAGGUGGCAAGCGUUGUCCGGAAUUAUUGGGCGUAAAGCGCGCGCAGGCGGCUUUCUAAGUCCAUCUUAAAAGUGCGGGGCUUAACCUCGUGAUGGGAUGGAAACUGGAAAGCUGGAGUAUCGGAGAGGAAAGUGGAAUUCCUAGUGUAGCGGUGAAAUGCGUAGAGAUUAGGAAGAACACCGGUGGCGAAGGCGACUUUCUGGACGACAACUGACGCUGAGGCGCGAAAGCGUGGGGAGCAAACAGG
rnacentral:rRNA from 1 species